rnacentral:rRNA from 1 species
AACGAACGCUGGCGGCAGGCCUAACACAUGCAAGUCGAACGCCCCGCAAGGGGAGUGGCGCACGGGUGAGUAACGCGUGGGAAUAUGCCCUUCGGUUCGGAAUAACACAGGAAAACUUGUGCUAAUACCGGAUACGAUCUACGGAUGAAAGAUUUAUCGCCGAGGGAGUAGCCCGCGUAGGAUUAGCUAGUUGGUGAGGUAAUGGCUCACCAGGGCGACGAUCCUUAGCUGGUCUGAGAGGAUGAUCAGCCACACUGGGACUGAGACACGGCCCAGACUCCUACGGGAGGCAGCAGUGGGGAAUAUUGCACAAUGGGCGCAAGCCUGAUGCAGCGACGCCGCGUGAGGGAUGACGGCCUUCGGGUUGUAAACCUCUUUCAGCACCGACGAAGCGCAAGUGACGGUAGGUGCAGAAGAAGGACCGGCCAACUACGUGCCAGCCGCCGCCGUAA